GACGUAGGGCGCGAGCGUUGUCCGGAUUUAUUGGGCGUAAAGAGCUCGUAGGCGGCUUGUCGCGUCGACUGUGAAAUCCCGCGGCUCAACUGCGGGUCUGCAGUCGAUACGGGCAGGCUAGAGUUCGGUAGGGGAGACUGGAAUUCCUGGUGUAGCGGUGAAAUGCGUAGAUAUCUGGAGGAAUACCGGUGGCGAAGGCGGCAUCCUGGACCGGCAUUGACGCUGAGGAGCGAAAGCUAGGGGAGCAAACGGG
rnacentral:rRNA from 1 species